GUAGUUGGAGGUGUGGAAGAAGGUGCUGUGUGUGGGUGGGGGUAGUUGGAGGUGUGGAAGAAGGUGCUGUGUGUGGGUGGGGGUAGUGGGUGGUGUGGAAGAAGGUGCUGUGUGUGGGUGGGGGUAGUGGGUGGUGUGGAAGAAGGUGCUGUGUGUGGGUGGGGGUAGUGAGUGGUGUGGAAGAAGGUGCUGUUUGUGGGUGCGUGUCUGUGCAUGCGUCUGUGUGUGUAGGUGUGUGUGUGCAUGUCACUGCAUGCGUCUGUGUCUUUGUAGGUGUGUGUGUGCGUGUCUGUGCAUGCGUCUGUGUCUGUGUAGGUGUGUGUGUGUGUGUGCGUGCGUGUCACUGCAUGCGUCUGUGUCUGUGUAGGUGUGUGUGUGCGUGUCACUGCAUGCGUCUGUGUCUGUGUAGGUGUGUGUGUGUGUUUGCUUAGGGAGGGUAGGGGAAGGAUUUCCCCCUGUCUCCCAUAUCCCAAGUUCAAUGUCAG
ensembl:lncRNA